rnacentral:rRNA from 1 species
GCGUGCCUAACACAUGCAAGUUGAGCGAUUUACUUCGGUAAAGAGCGGCGGACGGGUGAGUAACGCGUGGGUAACCUACCCUGUACACACGGAUAACAUACCGAAAGGUAUGCUAAUACGGGAUAAUGUAUUUGAGAGGCAUCUCUUGAAUAUCAAAGGUGAGCCAGUACAGGAUGGACCCGCGUCUGAUUAGCUAGUUGGUAAGGUAACGGCUUACCAAGGCGACGAUCAGUAGCCGACCUG